CAGUAGCCGCGGUAAUACAGAGGAUGCAAGCGUUAUCCGUAAUGAUUGGGCGUAAAGCGCGCGCAGGCGGAUAGGUCAGUCUGUCUUAAAAGUUCGGGGCUUAACCCCGUGAUGGGAUGGAAACUGCCAAUCUAGAGUAUCGGAGAGGAAAGUGGAAUUCCUAGUGUAGCGGUGAAAUGCGUAGAUAUUAGGAAGAACACCAGUGGCGAAGGCGACUUUCUGGACGAAAACUGACGCUGAGGCGCGAAAGCCAGGGGAGCGAACGGGAUUAGAUACCCCUGUAGUCCCUGUCUCUUAUACA
rnacentral:rRNA from 1 species